rnacentral:sRNA from 1 species
ACCAUCACCGGCGUGUCGGUGCUGAAUCCCGCCUCUUCCAGCCAGUUACCGUUCAGGCGCAGGCUGGGGCUGCGGGAAUACCAGGUGGCGGUGUAGUUGUGAUGGUAAAAAUGCCGGACGCUG